rnacentral:RNase_P_RNA from 1 species
AUAACAGGACGGAUUGCCGCUGCAGAUUGAAGGUUGCAUAGGUGAGCAGCAAGUCUGCUUGCGACCAGCCUAUUUCAGUAGAGGAAAGUCCGGGCUCCAUAGAGAAUGAUGCCGGGUAACGCCCGGGUGGUUUUUAAUGAACCAACAGAUAGUGCCACAGAAAAUAUACCGCCCUGGUAAUUUAUUAUCGGGGUAAGGGUGAAAAGGCGGGGUAAGAGCCCACCGGUUUUCCCGAAAGGGAAAGCGCAUGGUAAACCUCAUCAGGAGCAAGGUCAAGCAGUAGAUGAAUUUCUCGUUCUUAUUCUACGGGUAGAUCGCUAGUAUCAUUUCCGGUAACGGAAAUGUCAGAUAGAUGGCAAUCGAUUACAGAACCCGGCUUAUAGUCCUGUUAUCUUU